rnacentral:rRNA from 1 species
UACGUAGGGUCCGAGCGUUGUCCGGAAUUAUUGGGCGUAAAGAGCUCGUAGGCGGUUUGUCGCGUCUGCUGUGAAAUCCCGAGGCUCAACCUCGGGUCUGCAGUCGAUACGAGCAAACUAGAGUGUUGCAGGGGAGACUGGAAUUCCUGGUGUAGCGGUGAAAUGCGCAGAUAUCAGGAGGAACACCUGAGGUGAAGACGGGUUGCUGGGCUGACACUGACGCUGAGGCGCGAAAGCCAGGGGAGCAAACGGG